UGCGCUUGCGGAUCAAUUCAUUAUUGCGUUCCCAAAUAUCAACAAGCAUUUCUGGCGCCGUUGCCGGGGAUCGAAAGACGGUUGCUGAGAUAACCUGAGUCUUGCUACUAGCUUGUAUCUAUACUUUUAUCUUUUCUUAUCUUUUAUAUCCUUUAUUUAUUUUCUUUAUUCUUACCUUAUGGAAAACCAAAAUUCUAAAUCGAUCCAUGAGUCUGC
rnacentral:lncRNA from 1 species